rnacentral:rRNA from 1 species
AGGUGGCGAGCGUUAUCCGGAUUUACUGGGUGUAAAGGGCGCGUAGGCGGGAAUGCAAGUCAGAUGUGAAAUCCAGGGGCUCAACCCUUGAACUGCAUUUGAAACUGUAUUUCUUGAGUGUCGGAGAGGUUGACGGAAUUCCUAGUGUAGCGGUGAAAUGCGUAGAUAUUAGGAGGAACACCAGUGGCGAAGGCGGUCAACUGGACGAUAACUGACGCUGAGGCGCGAAAGCGUGGGGAGCAAA